rnacentral:rRNA from 1 species
AGUGAACGCUGGCGGUAGGCCUAACACAUGCAAGUCGAACGGCAGCACAGUAAGAGCUUGCUCUUACGGGUGGCGAGUGGCGGACGGGUGAGGAAUACAUCGGAAUCUACUUUUUCGUGGGGGAUAACGUCGGGAAACUUACGCUAAUACCGCAUACGACCUACGUGUGAAAGCAGGGGAUCUUCGGACCUUGCGCGAUUGAAUGAGCCGAUGUCGGAUUAGCUAGUUGGCGGGGUAAAGGCCCACCAAGGCGACGAUCCGUAGCUGGUCUGAGAGGAUGAUCAGCCACACUGGAAGAGAGACACGGUACAGACUCCUGCGGGAGGAAGCAGUGGGGAAUAUUGGACAAUGGGGGAGAGCCUGAUACAGCCAUACCGCGUAGGUGAAGAAGGAGUUAGGGUUGUAAAGCCAUUUUGUUGGGAGAGAAAAGAAGCAGGUUAAUACCCCGCUGUUAUGACGGUACCCAAAGAAUAAGCACCGGCUAACUUCGUG